rnacentral:rRNA from 1 species
GACGAACGCUGGCGGCGUGCUUAACACAUGCAAGUCGAACGAAGAGCGAUGGAAGCUUGCUUCUAUCAAUCUUAGUGGCGAACGGGUGAGUAACGCGUAAUCAACCUGCCCUUCAGAGGGGGACAACAGUUGGAAACGACUGCUAAUACCGCAUACGAUCUAAUCUCGGCAUCGAGGAUAGAUGAACGGUGGCCUCUACAUGUAAGCUAUCACUGAAGGAGGGGAAUGCGUCUGAUUAGCUAGUUGGGGGGGUAACGGCCCACCAAGGCGAUGAUCAGUAGCCGGUCUGAGAGGAUGAACGGCCACAUUGGGACUGGGACACGGCCCAGACUCCUACGGGAGGCAGCAGUGGGGAAUCUUCCGCAAUGGACGAAAGUCUGACGGAGCAACGCCGCGUGGGGGAUGACGGCCUUCGGGUUGUAAAGCUCUGUUAAUCGGGACGAAAGGCCUUCUUGCGAAUAGUGAGAAGGAUUGACGGUACCGGAAUAGAAAGCCACGGCUAACUACGUG